rnacentral:rRNA from 1 species
UACGUAGGGUGCAAGCGUUGUCCGGAAUUAUUGGGCGUAAAGAGCUCGUAGGCGGUUUGUCGCGUCUGCUGUGAAAACUCGGGGCUUAACCCCGGGCCUGCAGUGGGUACGGGCAGACUAGAGUGCGGUAGGGGAGACUGGAAUUCCUGGUGUAGCGGUGAAAUGCGUAGAUAUCAGGAGGAACACCGGUGGCGAAGGCGGCUUUCUGGACAGAAACUGACGCUGAUGCGCGAAAGCUAGGGGAGCAAACAGG